rnacentral:rRNA from 1 species
GAUGAACGCUGGCGGCGUGCCUAAUACAUGCAAGUCGAGCGAACAGAUGAGGAGCUUGCUCCUCUGACGUUAGCGGCGGACGGGUGAGUAACACGUGGAUAACCUACCUAUAAGACUGGGAUAACUUCGGGAAACCGGAGCUAAUACCGGAUAAUAUAUUGAACCGCAUGGUUCAAUAGUGAAAGACGGUUUUGCUUGCACUUAUAGAUGGAUCCGCGCCGCAUUAGCUAGUUGGUAAGGUAACGGCUUACCAAGGCAACGAUGCGUAGCCGACCUGAGAGGGUGCGCCCCCAAAGGAGCGCAGACACAGGGUCCACACCCCUGGGAGCGACAGGAAGGGAAAAUCUUCCGAAGUGCGCAAACCCGAAAGGGAAACGCGCCGCGUGAGAUAAGAGUUUCCGGAUAUCAAAACCCUCUUUUAUUAGGAAAAAAAAUGUGGAAAAAAAACUACGCGCCUGGUGGGGAUACAUAAACAGAACCCCGCCGCUCACCGC